GAGCAGGCACCAGCCGCCGCCUGGGCUUGAACGCAGCGAGCGCGGCCAUGGCCUCCGGCGCCGCAGCUAAGCGGGCGGAGGGCGAGCGGGCGGCGGGACGGCAGCCCCGGCCCCGGCCCCCGUCCCCAGCGCUGGGCUGACCUGUGUGCCCCCUCGUCUCGUCCCACAGAGGGGACCCUCGGACAGAGGCUGCUGCGCACCGUCAAGAAGGAGGAGGAGAUAAGAAUGCUGAGGAAGACUCUAUAACCAGACUUUCCGACAAACCUGGUCCUGAUGAUUCAUGGCCUACAUCACCUAGCCAAGGCUUAGAUUUCGGUACCAAGGUGAAGCAGAUCAUGGAGGAGGCAGCCACACGGAAGUUCGUCCACGAGGACAGCAGCCACAUCAUCUCCUUCUGUGCGGCUGUAGAGGCCUGCGUCCUGCAUGGGCUGCGGCGGCGGGCGGCUGGCUUUCUGUGCAGCAACCAGAUUGCAGCUCUCUUCAUGAAAGUGGGCAAGAACUUCCCACCGGCCAAAGGGCUGAGCCGCAAGGUGAAGGACCUGGAACAGCUGAUUGAGAGCGUUGUCUGGACAGUGCCCAGCACCUGGUAAAAUGCUCAAGAAAAGAUUGUUGAAUGAGUAAGUGUCUGCUGUUAGCCAAACCCAUUCCGAAUGCAGGAAGACCAAGUUUAAUGAAACUACUGUGGUCUCCAUCUGCAUGGACCAGAUGCUGACAUUGAGGCAACAAGGGGAACGGUGACUUCACUCACAGGUCUGGAGGGCUGAUUUCCUGGGGGGCGGGUGCUCAGGGCCUGAGAGCAUGUACGCGAGAACCUCCCACCAGAGUCCCGACCGCACAGUUUGACUCUACGCCAGAGCCGCGGUCUGGAGCCUGGUCAGGGCUGGCAAAGAGGUUUCAGCUCCCGUUGGUGCUAGCAGCCGCCCACAGGACCUUGUUGUGAAAGAUUCCGGAGCCGUGAUUGGGCUUCACGGGAAAGAAUGUGUGGAUUGAUUCGCCGUGUGUGUGACGGGCAAGAGAAGGGAGAGAGAGGCGCACAUGCUGUGUGUGCCCUGGGUGAUCACUCCAUCUCAGCGGGUGGGAGAUGGUCCUUUCCCUCCCUUGCAGGCCUGCCAGCCCAGAGCUGCUGGCCAGAACUGUGGGACGGGCAAGGCUGUGGACUUAGCGUCACCGGCUCCCUUUCGGAAUCAGACUCCUCAGCCACUUGGUGCUCAAGGUGCCUUCCAGUCCGUAUCCUAAAUUCCCAAGUGUUUGCUGAUAACUUCCUAAAGGGAGCGAUUUCCAUGGGCCUUCCAUAAUAUCGGGAAUGACUUUCUCAUGGAGGAAUUAGAGAUACCCAUGCCAGGUGGUAAGGGAGAGCCAUUCAUUUCAUUCAUGCAAUCGCUCAUUCAUGAGAGAGGGAAGGGGAGAGAGGGAAUGAGAGAGAGAGAUGAAGAGAAGUGUCGCUAUGAGAAUCUGGCUUGCCCAUCAACAGUAUAUGAAGGUGUCUGUUUUAUCGCAUCUUCACACUCACUGGGUGUUAUCAUUUUUUCAACACGUCACCCACUUGCCAGGAGCAAUGUGGGCUUUUGUUGUUGUUUUAGUUGCCGUUCCUUCAUUCCCUAGAGAGGUUGGGCAUUUUGCUGUUUGCAUAUGCAAAAGGAGGUCCUGUUGGAUCUCCUUUUUUGCGAAUAUUCCUCCUCCUCCUGUACUGGUCUUGAAGGCAAAACCAGAUUCAGGGCCUCCAGGAGAAUGUGCGGAAGCUGCCGAAGCUGCCCAGCCCGUCCCCACUUGCCAUCAAGCACCUGUGGAUCCGCACUGCUUUGUUGGAGAAGGUCCUGGACAAAAUUGUGCAUUACCUGGUGGAAAAGAGCAGGAAAAUAUAUAUGAAAGGAGAGAGCAGAGUCCUUCCUCUCAUGAACCUCACAUCGUUGCAGGGAAAACAGGAAAAUAGUAAUUGUGGUAAUAUGUGUAAAUACUACGAGAAGGAAGCCCUCCUGAUGGACCCGGUGGAUGGCCCCAUCCUUGCGUCUUUGUUGGAUCCAGAAGAGACAUUCAAGUGGCAGCAUGGACGACCGACCAUCCCUUUCUGCCCGUGACUGUGUUGAGUCCCUGCACCAGAACUCCCGGGCCACGCUCCUCUAUGGCAAGAACAAUGUUCUGGUU